GGCUCAUAGCUCAGUGGUAGGGCAUCUGUGUCAUAUGUAGAAGGUCCCAAGUUCAAUUCUUGACAUCCU